rnacentral:rRNA from 1 species
UACGGAGGGUGCAAGCGUUAUCCGGAUUCACUGGGUUUAAAGGGUGCGUAGGCGGGCAGGUAAGUCAGUGGUGAAAUCUUUGGGCUUAACCCGAAAACUGCCAUUGAUACUAUCUGUCUUGAAUAUUGUGGAGGUUAGCGGAAUAUGCCAUGUAGCGGUGAAAUGCUUAGAUAUGACAUAGAACACCAAUUGCGAAGGCAGCUAACUACACACAUAUUGACGCUGAGGCACGAAAGCGUGGGGAUCAAACAGG